GAAUCUUCCUGCUUUUCGUUACGGAGGUUGCUCUUCAUUUCCUUUGAAAUAAGCACAAUGCUUUAGACAAAGAACAAAGCCACGUUUCUCUUUAACUGGACCUGUUCUUCUGGAUUUGGGUGGACAAAUGAAUGAGGAAUUCGAAGGCGAAGUGAAUGAGGGCUCUCUGCACCUCGCCUGAACCCCAAAGGACGGCCGAGCCAUGGUGGUCGUCCUCCGCUGACCACUGGAACAGAGAUUUGGAGCUAGGAAUCCAGGUCCCCAGAAGUCACCCCAAGCAACUCUUGAGACAUCUUCCAAACGCCGAUCCUUUCUUUUCCCUACUCCCUGCCCUAUCCCCAGCCCCCCACUUUACCCUUGAUUUCUCUUCUCCUCUCUUUUCCUUUUUUUCCUCUCCCAUAUUUUUGGUACCCAAAGUCUGUCCCCAAUUCAGCCACUUCUCCCUCUCUCCACUGCAGCCACUCCAUCUGAACACCCCUCACCCCUCACGAGGCGACUGCGGCAGCUUCUCGUGGGUCCCCUUCCUCUCCUGCUCCCUGAAAUCCGUCCCCACCAAGAGCCGGUGUGACCUUCGUGAAAACAUGGAUUCAAUCCCACCAUUGUCCUGAGCCAACUGCUUCUGGAUGCCCUGGAAGCGUGUCUUUCAAGCCGUUCGACCCUCUAAAACAUGUCACAUCGUGACCCAGACACACAUCUAUGAACAUGUCACCUUGUGACAAGAGCCAUCCUCACCAUGUGCAAUGCACUCUCGUAUUUUCUAUUGUACUCCUAUUCUAUUCAUUCCAUUCUGUUUUAUUUCAUUGACUUUUAAUUCUAAGCAUGACCCAUUAAACUAAUUUUUUACCCAACAUAAGGGUCUCAAUUACACUAGAGUAAAAUCUAUACUCCCUUUGCAGAUCAAUAAGGCCCCCUGUGAUUUGACCCUUCCCGCCUCCCUGACCUCAUUGCUCUCACCUUUCCUGCACCCACUGUGCUCUUCCCACAAUGGCUUCCUUAUCCUUCCUCCAACAGGCUAAGCGUGUCCCUGCCUCAGGGUCUUUGCACUUGCUGUUCCCUCUGCUCAGAACACUGGCCCUGCAGACCUCCAGACCUCGCUCAGAUCUCACGUCAGCCUUCCCCUCCUCUCACCCUCCUCCCUGAGGAAGUCACUCUCGCGCUCUGUCCCAUCACUCUGCUUUAUUGUGACUUAGCGUGUGUCGCCGUUUGGCCUGUCUCAUUUGUUUGUGUUCUUUUCCAGUGAUUAUCUCUCUCCCUCUAGCAUAGAGGUUCCUGCCCACCCAGCAUCCCGCAUCAGUGGUUCUCACACUUUACCGGCAUCAGAGUCCCUGGAGGCGCAUGAGCGGUUAGAGCGCUGGACCCUCCCGUUUCUGACUCAGCAGGUCUGGGAUGGAGCCAGGGAAUCUGCAUUUCUAAGCAGCUGCCGUGAUGCUGCCGCUGGUCCUGGGGCCGUGUGGGGACCACUGGGCUACAUCAGUGGUCCGCACGUGGCAGGUGCCACAGAGCGAGCUCUGUCACAGGGGAGAAGGAGCAGCGGGCUUCGUCUUCAGGGCGUCUGAGGUGUGGAUGUGAGACCCAUGCCCAUCGCCGUCCCCGUGAGCUCGCCCCGAG
rnacentral:lncRNA from 1 species